AGAGUUUGAUCCUGGCUCAGGAUGAACGCUAGCGGCAGGCUUAACACAUGCAAGUCGAGGGGUAACGGGGAAGCUUGCUUCCGCCGACGACCGGCGCACGGGUGCGUAACGCGUAUACAAUCUACCUUAUACUGGGGUAUAGCCUUUAGAAAUGAAGAUUAAUCCCCCAUAGUCUCUUAGAGUGGCAUCACUUCUAGAGUAAAGGUUACGGUAUAAGAUGAGUAUGCGUUCUAUUAGUUUGUUGGUGUGGUAACGGCACACCAAGACUACGAUAGAUAGGGGCCCUGAGAGGGGGAUCCCCCACACUGGUACUGAGACACGGACCAGACUCCUACGGGAGGCAGCAGUGAGGAAUAUUGGACAAUGGAGGCAACUCUGAUCCAGCCAUGCCGCGUGCAGGAAGACUGCCCUAUGGGUUGUAAACUGCUUUUAUACAGGAAGAAACACCUCUACGUGUAGAGGCUUGACGGUACUGUAAGAAUAAGGAUCGGCUAACUCCGUGCCAGCAGCCGCGGUAAUACGGAGGAUCCAAGCGUUAUCCGGAAUCAUUGGGUUUAAAGGGUCCGUAGGUGGAUAAUUAAGUCAGAGGUGAAAUCUUGCAGCUCAACUGUAAAAUUGCCUUUGAAACUGGUUAUCUUGAGUUAUUAUGAAGUAGUUAGAAUAUGUAGUGUAGCGGUGAAAUGCAUAGAUAUUACAUAGAAUACCAAUUGCGAAGGCAGAUUACUAAUAAUCAACUGACACUGAUGGACGAAAGCGUGGGUAGCGAACAGGAUUAGAUACCCUGGUAGUCCACGCCGUAAACGAUGGUUACUAGCUGUUUGGACUUCGGUCUGAGUGGCUAAGCGAAAGUGAUAAGUAACCCACCUGGGGAGUACGUUCGCAAGAAUGAAACUCAAAGGAAUUGACGGGGGCCCGCACAAGCGGUGGAGCAUGUGGUUUAAUUCGAUGAUACGCGAGGAACCUUACCAGGGCUUAAAUGUAAGUUGCAUUAGUUAGAGAUAGCUAUUUCUUCGGACCACUUACAAGGUGCUGCAUGGUUGUCGUCAGCUCGUGCCGUGAGGUGUCAGGUUAAGUCCUAUAACGAGCGCAACCCCUGUUGUUAGUUGCCAGCGAGUCAUGUCGGGAACUCUAGCAAGACUGCCAGUGCAAACUGUGAGGAAGGUGGGGAUGACGUCAAAUCAUCACGGCCCUUACGUCCUGGGCUACACACGUGCUACAAUGGUAGGUACAGAGAGCAGCCACUGCGCGAGCAGGAGCGAAUCUAUAAAACCUAUCACAGUUCGGAUCGGAGUCUGCAACUCGACUCCGUGAAGCUGGAAUCGCUAGUAAUCGGAUAUCAGCCAUGAUCCGGUGAAUACGUUCCCGGGCCUUGUACACACCGCCCGUCAAGCCAUGGAAGUUGGAAGUGCCUGAAGUCCGUCACCGUAAGGAGCGGCCUAGGGUAAAGUCGAUAACCAGGGCUAAGUCGUAACAAGGUAACC
rnacentral:rRNA from 1 species